rnacentral:rRNA from 1 species
UCAAAAACAUCCCUUAGGACCUCCUAAGUAUAGCCUGCUCACUGAGUUUAUUUAAGAGCCGCAGUACUCUGACUGUGCUAAGGUAGCAUAAUCAUUUGUUAUUUAAUUGGUAACUUGUAUGAACGGCCUGACGUGAUUUUAACUUUCUUUUUCUUAUCAAGUGAAACUUAUCAUGUAGUAAAAAAGCCACAUUUUUCCAAAAAGACGAUAAGACCCUAGGACUUUAAUUCGAUUGAAUUUUAUUGGGGCGAUAUAAACACUGACAGAUUAUCACUUCAACUUCUUGAACGACAUGAAUAACCUAUUUAAAUAUAAGAAUCUAAGUACCCUAGGGUUAACAGCAUUAUCUAUUUCAAGAGCCCACAUCGACAAAUAGGAUUUUGACCUCGAUGUUGAAUUGAUUAGUUUCCUUUAGAGCAGAAUCUAAAGGGAAAGGUCUGUUCGACCUUGAACUAUCACGUGAUCUGAG